rnacentral:tRNA from 1 species
UAGCUCAGUUGGUAGAGCGCCUCGUUUACACCGAGGAUGUCGUCGGUUCGAGUCCGGC